UACCAUGAUGAUAAUGGAUUAAACCUCUGAAACUGAGAACCGUGGGGCUUCCCAAGAAAAGGAUGUGCUGAGGAAAUACAAACAACCAACAACAGAGAUGGGAUGUUUCAGGAGGCCAUGAAGCUUACCCCAGAACUGCAACUGAGAAACAAGUGUCAUCAUGAAGAAAUUCAGAAGGCAAGAUGGCUCAGCCACUAAAGGCACUUGCCACCAAGUCUGACAACCUGAGUUGGAUCCCCGGAAGCCACACGCAGGGUGCAAGGAGAGAAUGGACUUCCACGAGCUGUCCUGACAUUUUCCUGUGCCAUGGUAUGAAUGUGCAAACACCCAUACACAAUAAACAAACAAUAAACAAAUAAAUAAAAUGCAAAAAAUAGAAAGGGGGAAACAGAAGAACCCCAAGUUUCAGGAAACUUUCAGUUUCAGGAAAAUGAAGAGGAAGGUUCAGGGGGAAUAUGUAAUCGGCAUCCAAGACCCUGACAAACUCAAUCAGCCAACCCGCAGGAAUGGACUAUGGCUAAAAAUGACAGGUAUAUGAUCAAUCUUUCAAGCAGCCUGAUAGAAUGAGAGACAAAAAUCACAGCUCCAAUGAAAUGGGAAGUGGCUGAGAAUAUAAAAUAGUGAAAAGGUGGGGUUCUGCAGACAAAGCGGGGGACUAACACCUCAAAGUCAUCACUGCUCCAAGGAUCAACAGGGAGCAGAGAGAGGACUAUGAAGAAGCCUGUGAUGUGUGAGUCUGGGACAUCUAUCUUCUAGCUCAGAUUAAUUGUAUGAGUCAAUAAACAGAAAUGACUUUUAGAAGAAUUUAACAAUUUCUAUAAAGAUGUGGUCAGUGUAA